UUUUUUUGUGCUUUUAGUUUGCAUAUCCAUAAAUACACUUUAGUGAUCAUUUUAUUUCUUUAUAUUUAGAUAUUUCUUUUAGAAAUUUGAAGGAAUUUGAGGGUUAUUGACGUCUUUUCAAGUAUUUACUAACUUUUGUACGGAAAGUUAUCUUUCCUUGCCUAUGGAUUCUUCUUUCCUUCUUCCAUUGAAGUUCAGAGUCACCCCCAAAAGAAAAGGGAAAAAAAAAAAAGAAAAAAAAGAAAAAGAACUCUGGAAUCUGCUUCAAGUUCAUCUAGGUUAUCUGGUGCCGAGUCAUUGUUGAUUUGAUAGAUGAUUCUUCAUCUUUGAAUGUUACAUUGUUCGGAAAUCAAGCUGAAAAAUUUCUUGGUUGCACUGCAUAUGAGUUAAUGGAUAACUCUGAUGGGGUGAGGCAGAUCCAAUAGUGCUGAAUGUUGAAUAUUAAGAGCUUGAUGAAGGAAGUACGAAGCAGCUUGCCAAGCUUAAAGACAAUGCUUAGUUUGUCAUCACAUGAGCCAUCUUUUUGUUAAUGUUGACAUGAUAGAUUACUAUCAGUUCAUAAGUAGAUUAUUAUCAGCCUUUUGUGAACUCAUAGCACAUUUUGACUAUAUUAUGAUAGUAACACUAACAUUAUAUUUUGUACAUUGCAAGAUGUAAUAAAAAAUUGAUUUAGGUAUAACCUAA